AAUAAUUAACCCAAAAAGAAAUCAGCUGAAAAUUUCCGACUCAGCUGCAGCAGCAAUUAUGGAGUCGUUGUCGUAUCGAUCAUUUGGCGUUCCUUGGCCUGAUCUCAACGACGGUUUGUUCUACAACGACGUUGUUUCUUCCGCUGAUUCUGGUCGGUCCUCUUUCUUUCUCUGCUAUAGGAAAUAUAAAUGUUUUCUUUUAAUGGUUUGUUAGUA
rnacentral:lncRNA from 1 species